AGGGCAUUGCUUGAAAAGAAGAGAGUAGAGCUGUGUGGUUGUUCGAGAGAGAAAUAGCUGUCUACCUGCAUACUGGGCUGCAGCAUAUAUUAUCUGCACCAUAACUUUGGAUCCCAAUGGAUCAAUAAAUUCAUCGCAUAUAAUUAAUGAAAGGGGCAUUGGAUGCUGUAGACAUCUAAGAACUUAUCCUUUUUAAGGUAAAAUGCAAUUUAAACUAUAGUACAUCUUGUAUAUAUCUUCAAGUGUCUGAGAGCUAGAAGUUAUGCUAUAUAACCCCAGAAAUAA